rnacentral:rRNA from 1 species
GACGAACGCUGGCGGCGUGCUUAACACAUGCAAGUCGAACGGAAAGGCCCUGCUUUUGUGGGGUGCUCGAGUGGCGAACGGGUGAGUAACACGUGAGUAACCUGCCCUUGACUUUGGGAUAACUUCAGGAAACUGGGGCUAAUACCGGAUAGGAGCUCCUGCUGCAUGGUGGGGGUUGGAAAGUUUCGGCGGUUGGGGAUGGACUCGCGGCUUAUCAGCUUGUUGGUUGGGUAGUGGCUUACCAAGGCUUUGACGGGUAGCCGGCCUGAGAGGGUGACCGGCCACAUUGGGACUGAGAUACGGCCCAGACUCCUACGGGAGGCAGCAGUGGGGAAUAUUGCACAAUGGGAGGAAGCCUGAUGCAGCAACGCCGCGUGCGGGAUGACGGCCUUCGGGUUGUAAACCGCUUUCGCCUGUGACGAAGCGUGAGUGACGGUAAUGGGUAAAGAAGCACCGGCUAACUACGUG